UAUAAGUUAUUCUAAUAUAAUUAGAUAUUUAAAAUUUUUAAAUUUGAUUGCUAUUGAUACUGUACUAUUAUAUUUGAUUUAAUAUCUAUACUAUAUAUAAAAGCGUAUAGAAAUUCCGACAAUGACAGACGGAAUUCAAAAAGGAAUGAAAGAAUAUUACCUACAAAUGGUUAUGAUUAAUUUGUUAAAAAUAUCUCAAAUAAAAACAAACGGUUAUGAUUAAUCUAUUAAAUAUAAAAUAAUAUUUACUACGAUUGGUUAUGAUUAAUUUAUUAAAAUAUCUCAAAUAAAAAAGAACGGUUAUAAUCAAUCAAUUAAAUCUCUACUAUAUAUAAAAAUCUAUUAUCUACAAAUGCUUAUGAUCAAUUUGUUAAAAAAAUAAUCUCAUGCGAAUGGUUAUGAUUAAUUUGUUAAAAAUAUUUCAAAUAAAAAUAAACGGUUAUAAUUAAUCUAUUAAAUAUAAAAUAAUAUUUACUACGAAUGAUUAUGAAUAUUAUAAAUAUUUUCUAAUAAAAUAUAAUAUAUUAUUAAUUUAUAAAUAAAAUUUUUUAUUUAUAUAAUGUACACAUUUAUAUUGGUUUGAAAUAUAAUUAGAAUAAUAAUUGUUACGUGCAUUUGCACGUACAUUCAACUAGUAAUACUAAAUUACAAUAUAUAUAAAAGAUUAUUAUUAUUAUUAUAUUUCGUUCAUUUUAUAAAAUUCAAUUAUUCUGAAAAUAAAGUGCAGUUUAUUUCAAAAUUGUCUUUAGUCAUAUUUGGCCAAAGAAUUUUAUUGUUUACAAAUAAUAUUUCUUUUACUAAAAUUUAUUUUUAAAU
rnacentral:lncRNA from 1 species